rnacentral:ncRNA from 2 species
ACAGACCUUCGGGGCAGGGUGGAAUCCCCUACCGGCGGUGAUGGAGCGUAAGUGCUCCUCAGCCCGCGACCCGUCGCGUUCCGAACACCGAACACGGCGGCUGAUCCGGUGGAAUUCCGGGGCCGACGGUUACAGUCCGGAUGGGAGAAGGUCGCU